rnacentral:rRNA from 1 species
ACUUAAAUUGAAGAGUUUGAUCAUGGCUCAGAUUGAACGCUGGCGGCAGGCCUAACACAUGCAAGUCGAGCGGUAGCACAGGAGAGCUUGCUCUCUGGGUGACGAGCGGCGGACGGGU